AUGGCAGCAGCGUCAGGAACCGCCGCGACGUUCUCCAUCAGGACGCCGGCGCCGGGGCUCCGGCGGCCCUGCGCCCGCGCCGCCGCGGCCGGCGGGGGCGCCAAGUGGUGGGCGCCGCUGCUGGGGUGGUCGGGCCAGCCCGACUACAUCGACUCCCAGCCGGCCGCUGAACCGGCGCCGAAGGAGGAGCGGGGGAAGAGGCGGUUCGGGGUGCUGACGGAGGAGAAGGCGCGGCAGCUGCGGCUGAGGAUGAUGGAGACGGAGAGCUUCCACGACGUCAUGUACCACUCCGCCAUCGCCUCCCGCCUCGCCUCCGCCCCGCCCGACACCGCUCGCCGCACCAAGCCGUAG
rnacentral:rRNA from 1 species